CCUACGGGAGGCAGCAGUAGGGAAUAUUGGGCAAUGGAGGCAACUCUGACCCAGCCAUGCCGCGUGCAGGAAGAAGGCGUUAUGCGUUGUAAACUGCUUUUAUAUAGGAAGAAAUAGACCUUGCGAGGUAAGUUGACGGUACUAUAUGAAUAAGCACCGGCUAACUCCGUGCCAGCAGCCGCGGUAAUACGGAGGGUGCAAGCGUUGUCCGGAUUUAUUGGGUUUAAAGGGUGCGUAGGCGGUUUAUUAAGUCAGUGGUGAAAGACGGUCGCUCAACGAUUGCAGUGCCAUUGAUACUGGUAGACUUGAGUGGGAUUGAGGUAGCUGGAAUGGAUAGUGUAGCGGUGAAAUGCAUAGAUAUUAUCCAGAACACCAAUUGCGUAGGCAAGUUACUAAGUCUCAACUGACGCUGAGGCACGAAAGUGUGGGUAUCAAACAGGAUUAGAUACCCUGGUAGUCCACACUGUAAACGAUGAUAACUAACUGUUGGCUUUCGGGUCAGUGGUACAGAGAAAUCGUUAAGUUAUCCACCUGGGGAGUACGCCGGCAACGGUGAAACUCAAAGGAAUUGACGG
rnacentral:rRNA from 1 species